AACGAACGCUGGCGGCAGGCUUAACACAUGCAAGUCGAACGCCCCACAAGGGGAGUGGCAGACGGGUGAGUAACGCGUGGGAACAUACCCUUUCCUGCGGAAUAGCUCCGGGAAACUGGAAUUAAUACCGCAUACGCCCUACGGGGGAAAGAUUUAUCGGGGAAGGAUUGGCCCGCGUUGGAUUAGCUAGUUGGUGGGGUAAAGGCCUACCAAGGCGACGAUCCAUAGCUGGUCUGAGAGGAUGAUCAGCCACAUUGGGACUGAGACACGGCCCAAACUCCUACGGGAGGCAGCAGUGGGGAAUAUUGGACAAUGGGCGCAAGCCUGAUCCAGCCAUGCCGCGUGAGUGAUGAAGGCCUUAGGGUUGUAAAGCUCUUUCACCGAUGAAGAUAAUGACGGUAGUCGGAGAAGAAGCCCCGGCUAACUUCGUG
rnacentral:rRNA from 1 species